GUGCCAGCCGCCGCGGUAACACGGGGGGAGCAAGCGUUGUUCGGAAUCACUGGGCGUAAAGGGCGUGUAGGCGGUCAGGUAAGUGAGAUGUGAAAUGCCCCGGCUCACCCGGGGACCGGCAUCUCAUACUGCUUGGCUUGAGUACGGGAGAGGGUGUGGGAAUUCCUGGUGUAGCGGUGAAAUGCGUAGAUAUCAGGAGGAACACCGGUGGCGAAGGCGCACACCUGGCCCGAUACUGACGCUGAGGCGCGAAAGCUAGGGGAGCAAACGGGAUUAGAUACCCGCGUAGUCC
rnacentral:rRNA from 1 species